AGGUUCAAAUUCAGCUAGUCAUCUCCUCUGCAAAAUGAUCAAACUUUGAAUCAAUAUAGGUAACUUAAGGUGAUCCACAUCCUGAUUGACAAUGGCUCGGGUUUCCUCACGUGUGGUUUCCGUGGGUGACAUGACAUGCAACAUUCAAGCCAGUUUACUGGGUCCAUUAACAACACUGGAGAUGGAAUCGAAGGCCUUGUACACAGUAGGGAAAACAAAUCACCUUUAUGCUGAGGACUUGCUCUUAAGUUGUCUUGUGGGAAACAACACCCUUCACAAUAGCCACAAAGGACAUAAAGUACCUUGGUAUAACUCUAACCAAGCAAGUCAAAGACUUAUAUGAAAAAAACCAAGAAAACCCAAAAACAAACAAACAAACAAAAAAACAACAAAAAACAACUUCAAGUCUUUGAAGAAAGAAAUAGAAGAAGAUAUCAGAAGAUGGAAAGCUCUCCCAUGCUCAUGGCUUAGCAGGAUUCACAUAGUAAAAAUGGCCAUUUUACCAAAAGCAAUCUACAGAUUCAAUGCAAUUCCCAUCAAGUUACCAACACAAUUCUUUCUAGACCUUGAAAGAAAAAUUCUAAACUUUAUAUGGAAUAACAAGAAACCCUGAAUUGCUAAAACAAUCCUCUACAAUAAAAGAUCUUCUGGAGAGAUCUCAAUCCCUAAUCUCAAGCUGUACUAUAGAGCAACAGUAAUAAAAACUGCAUGGUACUGUCAUAGAAACAGGCUGGUGGAUCAAUGGAAUUGAAUAGAAGACCCAGAAAUAAAUCCACACACUUAUGAACACCUGAUCUUUGACAAAGAUGCCAAAACCAUACAAUGGAAAAUAGACAGCAUGUUCAAUAAAUGGUGCUGGUCUAACUGGAUGUUUACAUGUAGAAAAUGCAUAUAGUUCCAUGCUUAUCACCCUGCAUGAAACUAAAGUUCAAGUGGAUCAAAGAUCUCAACAUAAAACCAGACACACUAAACCUGUUAGAAGAAAAAGUGGGGAAGAGCCUUGACCUCACUGGCACAGGAGACAACUUCCUGAACAGAACACCAACAGCACAGGCUCUAAGAUCAACAAUCAAUAUCCAGAAUAUAUAAAGAACUCAAGAAGUUAAACAGCAACAAAUCAAGUAACCCAAUUAAAAAAUGGGGUAUAGAGCUAAACAGAAAAUUCUCUGUAGAGGAAUAUCAAAUGGUAGAGAAACACUUAAAGAAAUGACAUAAUCUGAUUGGCCUGCUCUUUGAUCACCUCCCCCUGAGGGGGGAGCAGCCUUACCAAGGACUCAAGUGACAACACAUGCUGUAGAGGAGGUGGAGAAAGGGGAACCCUCCUCCAUUGCUGGUGGGAAUGGUCCUUCCAAUUCUAGUCCAUGGUGACGGCUCUUUCCACUACACUCAGUGAUACUUUCCCUUUUGCCAUUAUUGCUUUAGUAGUUUUGUGUCACUUUCUUUUAAAAAUAAAUUAUAAACUCAUCGGGAACAGAGAGUUCUCUUGACUCUUACGUGUCCAUGCAGGAUCUGUUGGUUUGGCCGAGCAUGAGCAGUAGGGGAGGAUUCUACACCAGGUGAAAUUAUUUCAGUUGGUAGAAGAAGAAACUAUUUUCAGAGGACAAGGAAUGUUACUUGGGGAAAUCAGUAAAGGAUUAUUCUGCUUUUAGGGUAUUUACAGUUGCCACAGGGAAUAAUGCGGAAAGUUGUGUUAGCCUGCAUGAGGCAUCUGUGUUCUAGACUUCCAUAACUCUUAUGCUGAAGCAAAAUGGUCAGAUGAAGCUAAACCGCCAUAUUGGGUGUCCGCUGGAUAAACUGAGUUAGGAAAUCUUCACCGUUGCUUUAGCAGGACAGCGCUACACAUUUAACUGAAAAGUAGGUAAAGUCGGGCAGUUGUCUGAUUUGCUUGUUUUGCUGAUAACACAGUAACAUUUUCCUUGGUGGACGAGAGUUUAAUGACAUGAAGAAUCUACCAGCACCAAAGUCUGAUUUUCACAUUUGUCCCAUUGUUCACCAAUACUGCCAUCACCCAAGAAAGUUGCAUUCAUGUCCCAAAAUGUCAAUGCCUUUUUUCACUGUAGCAGGAAAGACCUUCAGUUAAUUAAUAACUACACUUUAUCUGAAAACUGUCUUCCCGCUUUAUAUCCUUUGUGUUUUUUAAGAGAGCCCAGUGUCCUAAGGAAGACAGAAGAUAAUGGUUCAUAGUCAACGCGGACCAGAAACUAACUCCGAACUUAACCAAAAAGUCAAUACUUAUCUGUACCUUAGUGGAAAUGCCAAGCAUAGCAAAAGACACAAACACAUUUCCAACUGAGCGCUUGUCCUUAUAUUUCUGUGUUCAAAGCUAUGCGGAAGAAUUUCAACAUCAGAUAAGACAAAAUGGCCUUUGGGGGCGGAAAAGACAGCAAAUGGCAACAGUGGCUGCUGCUACGGAGACCGCGGCAUCUGAGAGGAAAACAGACACCUGAGAUGCAUUCUCAUCUCCGCAGGCACGCUCACCACUUGCUCCCUCCAUCACUUUGCCUUCCUGGUGCGAGCGAGCUCUUGAAGUGAGUCACAGCAGGCAGCCUUUAAAAGAUAGCGUAGGGAGUGUGUCCGGGCUGAGCAAAAUCUUAAUUUGUUGCCACCGGAGACAACUGACCGAAGAAGAACUGUUCGCAUUUUACGUUUGCCAUGGCUGGCAGUAAGUGCAAACAAUGCGAUGGGAAAGACGUGGGUCUACAAAACAAGAGCUGGUUAUUCCUUUCUGAAGGUCAAGGUCGGCGGAUGCACAGAGCAGAGACUUUGAGCAUUUUAAGAACUUCAGGGUGCUUUCGAAAUUCCGGCUGGCUCUACAACACUCCCGCGGACCUCACAAAGUAAUUGUUGUUGAAAGCGGUGGAUAGCUACAACAGGAAAAGGUUUGAACACCCUUAAUGACACCUGCAGUCAGCUGGACUGUCCGUCGGCAUUGAAACAUCAGGGUAUGGAAAAGGGAAUUCGUGUAAGAGAGAAAGGCGCCCACUUAAGGGGCUGAAUAUGCAUUGCCACUAAGGACCGGUUAAGGAGUUGUGGGUGGGCUCGGCAUUUCAGGCAACAUAAGCAUAGAGAUCUAAAAAUCACGGCUGCAGGAAGCAUGUCAUCUAGGAACAGGGGCAGGAAAGGACUUCGUGUGAAUUAGGUUCACAGAGAAAGGCGUGAGAGUUCACGGAGGGCAGGCACUGUUUUACACUAGCCACAUAACAGCCUUUAGCCUUGUUAAAAACCGAGUCCUGUGGCCUUCCCCCUGGAGCUCCUGAAUCAGGGUGCUGAAAUAAUUGACUGGGAGGCAGCUCCACGCACUGUGUGCUUGUGUGUAAGCAAACUGAAAUCCAGCAGCAACCGAAAAUCAAUUCAAAUGGGGCUAAUUUAGUCACCUCGUUUCUAUCACGUGCUGUCUCUGUGACUUGCCGGGCUGAUUUCUUUCUGAUGAUGACCCGUCUCCUCACUUGAUUGCAGGAACUGCAUCUUUAUAGGCAUCUUUAUUCUAUAGAGAUGUAGUUAAAACAAUACCCACUGUCUGAUAAAAUAGUUUAACAUAAGAUUUGAAAGACUUGUAAAGUUGUUUUUUUUUUCCCCCCUGUGCUUAUUUUCUAUACAGAUUUAUUUAGAAUGUAGCCCUAGCCCUAGAUCUGAGACAGGCUGAAUUAUAUCCCCUACCCAAUGUAGAAGCCCUAAGUUGCUUAGCAAUGUUUAGCCUUGCUCUAUUCACAAUAGCCAGAAAAUGGAAACAACCUAAACUGCCCUUCAGCAUAUGAACGUUCAAUGAAAAUAUAAACAAUGGAAUACUAUUCAGCGGUAAAGACAAGUGAAAUUAUUGAAUUUUCAGGUAAAUGGAUGGACCUAGAAAAGAUUGUAUUGAGUGACAUAAUUCAGACUCAGAAAGAAAAACACCUCACACAUUCUCGCUCCUCUGUGGGUCCUUGCUCUAAAUCUUCAGAUGUGAGACUAUAACCUAGAGUGUGAUGUGGGAAAUGGGGAAAAUGGGGAAGGAGAUUUAAUUUAGGAAGGAGGUCAAUACUGACAGAGAGGAAAAGGGGACUAACAAGACUGGGAAUGUUUGAAAAAAUCCUCAAGGAAUAAAUACUGUUUUACUACAUAUAAAUACUAUACGCAUCUUAAAUGAAGUUAUGUUGCUUGAGCUGACAGUGUUCCCCACAAGAGCCAUAGACUAUCUAACAAAGACCGCAGCAUCAGGAUUGAGAAACCUCCUUUUAUAUUGGUCAGAGCAGUCUAAGAGGCUCCAACAUAGGCUAUUGCUAUUGCAAUUUCAUCUGUCUCCCAGAAGCUGAAGGUACUGACGACAUCAGACCCUUCUGACAUUGGACUUGGAAGAUUUGAGCUGGAUCUCCCCUGAAAGCCUCAUCCCUGAGGAUCAGGAGGUGCCGCCAAGCUGCCAAAGGAGGAAAGCAGUCAACAGUCCUAACCAACUGUGACAACUGUGAACUACACAAUGACCAGCAUGGCAGAAUAUUUCUAAAAGUGUAAUAGUGGAACUCCUAUCCUUGUGGUGACCAACAGCUGUCUGUUUGGACUCAAGAUCCCACUUAACAGGAGGGAAAUCAUGCCUGGUACUGAAAACCUAGCCAGAUUCUCAAGACAAGUGAGGUCAUGGGCUUUAGAAAAGAAUGUACUCUUGCCACUCUGCUAGACCAACAUAGUUUCUAACUGCUUUCAAAACUUGUCUGUAGUAUCUGCUUUGAUCCUCUGCUGGGUGGAGUCUUUCAGAGGACAUUUAUUUAGAGACUGAUGCACCAACCAAGGACAGUGCAUGAAGAGAACCUAGAGCCCUUGCUCAGCUGUAACCUAUAGGCCGCUCAGUCUCUAUGAGAGUUCCCUAGUAAGGGGAGCAGGGAUGUCUCUGACUUGGAGUCUUGUUGCCUGCUCUUUGAGCACUUCCUCCUGGUGGGAACCCACUGCCAGGCCACAGAAGAGGAAGAAGACUGCCUAGUCCUAAUGAGACUUGAUAGGCUAGGGUCAGAUGGUAGAGAAGGAGUGCUCCCCCUUUCUGGGAAAUAGGGAUGGGAAAGAGGAGGGAAGAGAUGAGGGAGGGGACUGCAAUUAGGAUGUAAAGUGAAUAAAUUGUAAAAAAAAAUAAAUAAAAACCUCAUCCUUACACCUACAGAUAAGUGUGGCUAGUAUACCUCAUCAGAGAAGCUUUACUUUGCAGCAGAUGGAGAGAAUUAUAGAGAAAUCACAACCAGUCAAAAUGCAGAGAUUAACUAAUUGUGGGGUGCUUAGCCCAACCCAUACAUCUGCCACACAACUGCUGCACCUAUGUCUCAGAGGACAUUGUGGACGAGGGGGCGGAGAGAUUGUAAGAGCCAGAGGAAUGGGAGAUCCGCUGUGAGGUUGCAUCUCUUAGAAGUGACAGGGAAGACACCUCGACAGCAUGGCUGCCUGAACAAUGACAGGGCCAUGGACAUCUGAGUGGGGGGUCCCCCUUCCUAAGCAGAAAACUGUAGACAAUCAAAGACUGCUGAGAUAGAAUCACUCUUUCCCAGAGACAAGUCCACUAAUUAUCUGAAAUCAUAUGCACACAAGCCACUCUAAAUGGACUCAGUAGGUUAUAUUUAUAUGGGUACGUUACAUACACACACACACACACACACACACACACCAAGAAUGAUUAAAGAAAAAGAGGCCAGAGAGGGAGUUAAGUGAAGUGACAUAGGAGGGAUUGUAGGGAGGAAAGGAAUGAGGGGAAAAUAACAGUUUAAUUAAAUUUAAAUGAAAACAGUUUAAUUAAAUUUUAAAAAGGUCAGUGUUUGGGGUAAGUAUUUUGUUUUUUAAGCAGUCUUUAUCCCCACAAAUAGCUAUGGAUGUGAGAAAGGUAUUGGCAAACACAUCAGUGGGAAGUGCAUUCAGGAGGGGGUGUCACUUGGGAAGCUGGAGUCCAUCCUGUCUCACCACCUUCCUCACCUCCCGUGAGGCAGGCGGAGAGCAUGCUGUAUGGCAGAGGCAAACCACAGCAAGAGUCACAGAUGCCUGAGCCUACUGGCUCCCCAAGAGAUCUGUCUGUUAAAGCCACAGGUAUAGGGAAGGGGUACUAUGAGAGGUACCACCUGUCUGUACCAGGAGACAAUCAGGGAUGAAGAAGUGGAACUUACAGUCUUUCAAGUUCUAACUCAUCUACCAGGGGCCACAAGAAGGAACAUUUUAGAAUAAACUUUUAAAAAUCAAGAAACCCUUCAAAUUUCCAUUUUGAGAUCUCCUGCCUGAACUCAACUUACUUCUUUCCUAUCAGUUUUUUUUUUUUUUUUUCUUUUCCCAUCAUAUUUGUUAGUAACCCUGAUCUUUGUCUUUUGGUCCUGGUCUUGCCACCCCUGUCUCCUAAAGUUCCAGAAUAAACUAUU